GAUGAACGCUGACAGAAUGCUUAACACAUCAGCAAUUGAUUGGUGGCGGACGGGUGAGUAACGCGUAAAGAACUUGCCUCGCAGGUAGGGACAACAUUUGGAAACGAAUGCUAAUACCUAAUACUGUGAGAGAGCUUUGCGUACCAUUAGCUAGUUGGAGAGGUAACGGCUCACCAAGGCGAGGAUGGGUAGCCUGCCUGUGAGGGUGAUCGGCCACAAGGGGACUGAGAAACGGCCCUUACUCCUUCGGGAGCAAGCAGUGGGGAACAUUGGACAAUGGACCAAAGUCUGAUGCAGCAAUUCGGUGUGCACGAUGAAGUUGUCGGAAGGUAAAGUGCUUUCAGUUUGGAAGCGGUACCAACAGAAGAAGUGACGGCUAAAUACGUGCCAGCAGCCGCGGUAAUUC
rnacentral:rRNA from 1 species